rnacentral:tRNA from 1 species
UCCCUGAUAGCUCAGUUGGUAAAGAAUCUGCCAGCAAUGCAGGAAACCCUGGUUCGAUUCCUGGAUAGGGAA